rnacentral:tRNA from 1 species
AGCUAGCUCAAUCGGUAGAGCGUGAGACUCUUAAUCUCAAGGUUGGGGGUUCGACCCCCCGUUGGGCU